UACAGAGGGGGCGAGCGUUGUUCGGAAUUACUGGGCGUAAAGGGCGCGUAGGCGGCCUGCUAAGUCAUACGUGAAAUCCCUCGGCUCAACCGGGGAACUGCGUGUGAUACUGGCGGGCUUGAAUCCGGGAGAGGAAUGCGGAAUUCCAGGUGUAGCGGUGAAAUGCGUAGAUAUCGGUAGGAACACCAGUGGCGAAGGCGGUCUCCUGGGGCAUUCUUGACGCUGAGGCGCGAAAGCUGGGGGAGCAAACGGG
rnacentral:rRNA from 1 species